CUUUUGGCCACUUGAGAUUGCAGAGCUGAACCUGUGAACCACCUUCCUGGGAAGACACAGGGCUGGGCCUGGGGCCAGAGCCUCUGCCCUCAGUUUCUGGGGAGCCAGACUCCAGAACUCCUUCCUCCCAGAACCCAUGGAAACAGUCUGGGUCCUCCGUUCAGAACUGUGAUUGGGAGAAGCACUGCACCACAGAAACCUUGGCAAUCAGUGGGUUCAUGGUUCUUCACAGAGGGAGAAGGCUGUUCCCACCCCAGAUGGGGUCUGUUGUAGAAAGGAUGAUGGCCAUCUCCUCCUGGGUGGAGUUCCCAGGCUUCCCUCUAAGAAAGGAAAACCUUGGAAGAAGAUCCUGGGACAAGUAUCUCUAGCGACUGCCUCUGAUCACCAUUGUUCUUUGGGAAUGGAGAGAUUAGGAGAUUACAACAAUCUUCUGUCAUCUUGAGCUGCCCUUGUCUCUAAAGCAGAGAAUUUCUGGGAAAACUGUCCCCCUGACUGCAUCACAUAACUUGUGACAAACCCUGAUUGAUAUCAAGGCUCCUAUGUCAUUGUUGUAAGGGCUGAUCUAUCGACCCUGCACAAUGAAAAUGAAGGAUCCUGAGCUGAAAGUAAAAAGAUGCUGAAAUCUCUCAAAAGAGAAGACAAGAUUCCUAAAAUAGCUCUCUGGAGGCUGCUCAGGCUGCUCUGUGACAGCCAGAGAUUCCUGGGAAGUAGAAAGGAGGAUCCCAGAAUGACUUGGACCAUGAAGGGAAGGGCUGCCUGUUUUCUAAGUCAGUUCUUCUAGUCUUACUUAGCUCCUUGGAGCUGGUGACAUGGAGAUUCCAGGACUCAACUGCAUCUGUGUUCCAAAUGGCAUUGUUGUACUGA